AUUCCCCUAGUAACGGCGAGUGAAGCGGCAACAGCUCAAAUUUGAAAUCUGGCUCUCGGGCCCGAGUUGUAAUUUGUAGAGGAUACUUUUGAUGCGGUGCCUUCCGAGUUCCCUGGAACGGGACGCCAUAGAGGGUGAGAGCCCCGUCUGGUUGGAUGCCAAAUCUCUGUAAAGUUCCUUCGACGAGUCGAGUAGUUUGGGAAUGCUGCUCUAAAUGGGAGGUAUAUGUCUUCUAAAGCUAAAUACCGGCCAGAGACCGAUAGCGCACAAGUAGAGUGAUCGAAAGAUGAAAAGCACUUUGAAAAGAGAGUUAAAAAGUACGUGAAAUUGUUGAAAGGGAAGCGUUUAUGACCAGACUUGGGCUUGGUUGAUCAUCUGGGGUUCUCCCCAGUGCACUCUUCCAGUCCAGGCCAGCAUCAGUUUUCCCCGGGGGAUAAAGACUUCGGGAAUGUGGCUCUCUUCGGGGAGUGUUAUAGCCCGUUGUGUAAUACCCUGGGGGGGACUGAGGUUCGCGCAUCUGCAAGGAUGCUGGCGUAAUGGUCAUCAACGACCCGUCUUGAAACACGGACCAAGGAGUCGUCUUCGUAUGCGAGUGUUCGGGUGUCAAACCCCUACGCGUAAUGAAAGUGAACGCAGGUGAGAGCUUCGGCGCAUCAUCGACCGAUCCUGAUGUUCUCGGAUGGAUUUGAGUAAGAGCAUACGGGGCCGGACCCGAAAGAAGGUGAACUAUGCCUGUAUAGGGUGAAGCCAGAGGAAACUCUGGUGGAGGCUCGCAGCGGUUCUGACGUGCAAAUCGAUCGUCAAAUAUGGGCAUGGGGGCGAAAGACUAAUCGAACCUUCUAGUAGCUGGUUUC
rnacentral:rRNA from 1 species